UUUCAUGUAAAAAUUUUCCAUAAUUUUAUUGUAAAAGUGGCGUAAUUUGAUUAUUGAAUUGUAUCACUUAUCCUUCUUAAGAAAAGUGAUAGGCUCUCGAGUGAAGUCAUUUUAUUCGUGAUCUGAUUGGCUGAAGUGUAGUCAUGUGAGUUACUAUACAUAGUUGUGUCUACUGUGUUAGUUUGUUCUGUGUUUGCCUUUAUAAUGUAGCCGGCUAAAGCAUUGAAGCAUCAUUUUACAGUAAUCCCGCGAGUACAUUAACAUCCAGUUGCAUCUGCUAUUUAAAGUAAAUUGACUUAUCUUAUCAAGCAAAAAAAUAGGUAAGUAGAUUAUGCAAUUAGCGUUUACGUAAUUAUUUUUUUUUGUUUGGAAUUUUUGUUUUUGUUGUUUGAAAAAAAAAGAAAGAUAAUUGCGGGAAUCAAUAGGUUAAGUUGACGAGCACGUUUUUUACAAUUUUUGAAGGCGGUGUGGCAAAAGCUGCUUCUCAAACUUAUUACAAGGAAGCUAAUAAUUAUAUUCCAUUUGAGUUGCUGAUAAAAGAUGCUACUACGAUCGAAUAUCUAGGACAACAUACUGGUAUUGAAAAUAAUGCCAGACCAGUACAAUCUGUCACUUUUGAGGAAGUUGGUAAAGCUGAAGGAUUGAUAUUGAUUGAAGGGCAUAUCAAAAUGAAAUUUGUUAAAGCAAUCAAUCAGUACACUCAUCAGCCAUAUGGAUGUGGUUCUAUCACUGAUGGAAAUUACAAGUUGGCGGUUCACAUCUCCAAUUAUGUAGCAGAAUUGAAUUUUGAAAAAGGUAUACGCGUUAAAAUAGCUGGGGAGAUUGACAGAUCAGGAGAAUUGAUGAUUCUUCGCUGUUUAGAUACUGAUUCUGUUGUGGAAAUAUCAGAUGUGCCUAGGAUGACAGCUCAAAUGUUAUCUCGAGGAAUAAAAACCCCAAAAAGAGGACUGCAGCAAGAAUAAGGUUAUGUAUUCUUCAAUUAUAAGAGUAUAGAUUAUACUUUUUGGGUUUGUCUUGAACAUCGUAAUACAUUAUUUUCAAUUCUAUAUAAAAAUGAAAAACUUGGUAGUUUGUUUGAAUGUGGAUUUCUUUGUUUGUAAUUUGAAACACUUGAAAUUUUCUAUUAUUUGUAACCAUACAUUCCUUUUUUAGAAUUCGAUUGAAUUGAAUUAUAUUAAGAGUAUAGCUUUACGUACACCAGUUAUGUAUUUUAUAUGACAUGUGAUUGAGUUGAGCAUAAAAUGCUCAGUGUUAAUUAAUAGUCUGAGAGUAUAUAAUAAGAUAUAUUGCAGUUCAGAUUGUAUCACUUAUACAUAUAUAUAUAUAUAGUUUUAUCAAAAAAAUAUCCAAAAAAUUUGUAAAAUGCUAUGUAUUCAUUUCAAAAUGUUCAUCAAAGUGAGACUGAACUAAUUUAUAUCGAUUACAAACCGUAUUAUAAACUAAUAAAAUGUUUCUUGCUCUACGAGUCUUUAACAACAUGAAUAAUGUAAAAAAUAUAAUGAGCGACACAAUGUGAAUACUAAGGGCUAUCAGAAUACUCACAAAAAUAUACAUGAAACAUAACUAACAAUAAUUUUAAUAUUAAGAUAUAUUCAACUUACAAAUAAAUGUAAACGCUAUUUAUAUAAAAAAAUAUUGCACAUCAAGAAUGUAAAUGAUUCUAAACAGUAAUUGCACUUUCAUAAGGUAUUCGUACGUACUAUCCGCUUUAGAUUAGUAACCAUGCAUUUCUUUUUUGUAAUUUGAUUGAACUGAAUGAUACUAAGCGUAGUUUUAGACUAGUUAUGUAUUUUAGAUGACAUGUGAUUGCGUUGAGCAUAACAUGCUCAGUAUUAAUUAAUAGUCUGAGAGUACAUAAUUAGAUAUAUUGCAGUUCAGAUUGUAUCACUUAAAUGUAUAGUUUUAUAGUUUUAUCAAAAAAAUAUCCAAAAAAUUUGUAAAAUGCUAAGUAUUCAUUUCAAAAUGUUUAUCAAAGUGAGACUGAACUAAUUUAUAUCGAUUACAAAUAGUAUUAUAAAACGAAUAAAAUGUUUCUAUCUCUACGAAUCUUUAACUAUAUGAAUAAUAAUGUAAAAAAAUGUGAAUACUAAACAAAAUGUAAUAUAUUAAGAAUAAUUGAGGUUAUUACAUAGUUCAUACAUAGUAUUUACGUUUUUCUGCUGCAAUUCUAAACAUCUCAUUAAAUUGUAAAGUUCGUAUUUAUUUUUUUUAAUAGUGUUGUCCUGUAAAAAAUUGUGACCGUGUAGUCAUGUAAUGUCAAUUGCACUCCGUCUUCUAUUAAUACAGUUUACCUGGUUGAAACUUCGAACAUUACAUUAUUGUUAUAUAAAAAAAAUUACAAAGUAAAAAAAUAUACAUAAUGUAUAAAUGUAUACAGAUGACAUAAUGUAUAAAAAAAAUAUAGCACUAGAUCUGGAUUAAUGUUAUAUUUUUAUGUACAAAAAUAAGUUAAAAAGUAUAGUAUGAAAUGUAUAAAUGUACAGAUGACAUACUGUAUACGAAAUAUUGCACUUAAUAUGUUGUUUAAAAAUAUUGCACUUAUAAAUAAUGUAAACGCAGUUGAUAAGUAUUCGCACUGUGAUGAGCUAGGUACGUAAGUUGAUUGCAAAGAUUUUAGUUUAGUAAACUGUAUGUACUAACUUAUUCAUGUUUGUAAAGCAUAUCUGUAAUGAAUGACUUUUUUCUAUAAGAUGAUGAUUAUAAAAUAUGUAGUCUUCUGUGAAAUAAUGUACUCUGUAAUUAAUUACAAUAAAGUUCCAAUAAAAUCAAGUCUUUCGAUGUUUGAAUAAUGUACAAAUGUAACAUUAAGAUUAGCAUUGUGGUUAUUACUUAAAGUACAUACUAUUAAUGUCUUUCUGCUGCCAUUGUACAAGUAUAAUGUUCGUAUUUAUAUUUGUUGUAUUGAAGUGUAAAAAGUGUAAAAAUUGGGUUAUUGGGUUGGGUUAUUGGCUGUUGAAUGCUGAUGUCUGGUUGCAAAAUUAUUGUCCCUCAGAGUGAGAGAGACAGCAAUAGGAUAAGAGGAAUGGAUGUCCCAUCUAUCGUGUGGAUCUUACCUGUUGCUGUCUCUCUCACUCUGACGGACAACUUAACCUUUAUAUGCUACAGAGUCACGUGACCUUAAGCUCAUAACGACCACGCUUAUUCCAUGCUCAAUUUACGGUUACAUCAAAAUUGCAAGCCACUGCAAGUCACGUUCUUCAGUGUUCAAUAAAUUGAUGAUACACUUCAAUUUCUGUAGUGAGCAAUUGAACCUCUUAGUUGGUUUCAUCUACUCUCAAAUUGAUUAAGCAGAGCGAUUAAAAACAGAGUUUUUUAUACGACCACAACAGGCCUCACAACUGAUUAUGCUAUCAAUAGUUUGGAGUUUGGAGGAUUAAAUUAAUAAUUAUCUUCUUUUUCAAAAGUGGUUCAUAAAAAAAGGAUAUUGUUUGUGUGUGUUAUGUAAAUUAACAGCAUCAAUAAUAAUGUAACUUUACAUGAUGUGAACUACAUUGGAUAUUUUAUAAAUAAAUAACAUUUUUGAC